UACGUAGGGUGCGAGCGUUAAUCGGAAUUACUGGGCGUAAAGCGUGCGCAGGUGGCCGCGCAAGUCGAGUGUGAAAUCCCCGAGCUUAACUUGGGAAUUGCGCUCGAAACUACGUGGCUCGAGUGUGGCAGAGGAAGGUGGAAUUCCACGUGUAGCGGUGAAAUGCGUAGAGAUGUGGAGGAACACCGACGGCGAAGGCAGCCUUCUGGGCCAACACUGACGCUCAUGCACGAAAGCGUGGGGAGCAAACAGG
rnacentral:rRNA from 1 species